rnacentral:rRNA from 1 species
CAGUCGCCGCGGGAAUACAGAGGGUGCAAGCGUUAAUCGGAAUUACUGGGCGUAAAGCGCGCGUAGGUGGUUUGUUAAGUUGGAUGUGAAAGCCCCGGGCUCAACCUGGGAACUGCAUCCAAAACUGGCAAGCUAGAGUACGGUAGAGGGUGGUGGAAUUUCCUGUGUAGCGGUGAAAUGCGUAGAUAUAGGAAGGAACACCAGUGGCGAAGGCGACCACCUGGACUGAUACUGACACUGAGGUGCGAAAGCGUGGGGAGCAAACAGGAUUAGAUACCCGGGUAGUCCCUGUCUCUUAUAC